rnacentral:rRNA from 1 species
UACGUAGGGUGCGAACGUUAUUCGGAAUCACUGGGCUUAAAGGGCGCGUAGGCGGGCUCGUCAGUCAGGGGUGAAAUCCCACGGCCCAACCGUGGAAGUGCCUCUGAUACUGCGAGCCUCGAGGGGGAUAGGGGCGUGCGGAACUCAGGGUGGAGCGGUGAAAUGCGUUGAUAUCGGAAGGAACUCCGGUGGCGAAAGCGACGUGCUGGACCUCUUCUGACGCUGAGGCGCGAAAGCUAGGGGAGCGAACGGG